AACGCACAUUGCGCCUCUCUUAACAGAGAGGCAUGCCUGUCUGAGCGUCAAUUAAAUCAAUAAGCCUGAAUGGGUUUGUGUUGGGCUUCGCCUGUUGCGGCGUUGCCUCAAAGUCAUUGGUCUUUUGAGCGGAUGAGAUCCAUUAGGACUGACCGUUCAGGGACCUUAACCCUCUGACUUGACCUCAGAUCAGGUAGGGACACCGCCUGAACUUAA
rnacentral:misc_RNA from 1 species